rnacentral:rRNA from 1 species
UACGUAGGGGGCAAGCGUUGUCCGGAAUCAUUGGGCGUAAAGCGCGUGUAGGCGGUCCGGUAAGUCCGCUGUGAAAGUCGGGGGCUCAACCCUCGAAUGCCGGUGGAUACUGUCGGGCUAGAGUGCGGAAGAGGCGAGUGGAAUUCCUGGUGUAGCGGUGAAAUGCGCAGAUAUCAGGAGGAACACCUAUUGCGAAGGCAGCUCGCUGGGACGUAACUGACGCUGGAGACGCGAAAGCGUGGGGAGCAAACAGG